CCAAGUCGUCAGUCCCGCCCUCGGUUCUUUCGCGUUUUCGGUCAGUCUCCGUUCGACGUUCGAACGGUGAAGUGUGUAUUGCGCGUGCGCGCACCGGUUACUGUGGCGUACUGCGAGGUUAUUAUGGACGCGCCCGGCGGAGCGCGGGAGUCCCGCUUCGGGCUUUACGGUAAUGGUAUGGGGAUCCUAGGGGAAGUGCCUGAUAUGUAUGGUGCUGGCCGCCCUCCGAGUUCCCUUGGCGGUCUGAGGCCUGGCAUGCAGCCCUGUCCAGUGCCAAGAACCGGCGUGAAGCGGCCAUCGGACCAGUGUUAUGAUGAGAGGCCUUCUCAAAGUCUUAGUUUGGAGCACUGUGGGAUGCCGGAUAUAGCAGAUGACGGCUAUGCAUCUCUCCAACCAAAAAAGUCUCCUCCUUCUAAUGGGAAGAAGACCAAGGGGCGCGUUAAGAUUAAAAUGGAAUACAUAGACAACAAAUUACGGCGGUACACAACUUUCUCUAAGCGGAAGACUGGCAUCAUGAAGAAGGCUUACGAACUGUCAACACUAACGGGAACACAAGUGAUGUUAUUGGUUGCGUCAGAAACCGGACAUGUGUACACAUUUGCGACGCGGAAACUUCAACCGAUGAUCACAUCGGAUUCGGGAAAGCGGCUCAUACAGACCUGCUUAAAUUCACCCGAUCCUCCCACGACGAGCGAGCAGAGAAUGGCAUCCACGGGCUACGAGGAGACCGAGCUAACGUAUAAUGUCGUCGACGAUGAUAUGAAGGUCCUGGCUGAUGAUUUGAAGAAGAAGAACAAUAAGGAAGAACCAGCAACUUCUGGCGACAGCGGGGAUGAGAGUGGUAGCGAACAGGACUUUAUGUUCAAUCCCCAACAACACCACAAGGAUUUUAAUUGUGAUAAUCAAUCAGCUUCAAUUAAAAGAGAAUCCGAAAACCAGCCGUCUACGUCAUCAGCAAACCAGGAAGAAAGCAAAUCAAGUCAACCGUCACUACCCAGACUACUCCCAAAGAUAGAUCUACCAGGGGGUGCCAUGUUAUACCCGUCAGGGGUCCUAGCUGGCCUGGACGGUUUGGGGACCAACUUGGGACUUGGAAAUUUGGCUAUGGGAUAUCCGCCUAGCUUUAUUUUAGGUUUAGCUAAUCAAGGGCAAGAAAAUGCAUCAUCAUCCAACCAGCCGCAGUUCAUCACAAUACCACUUUCGAUGGCAGUAGCAGCGGGUGCAGGCGCUCCGAACGGCGCCGGCGCAUCUAGCGACGACAGCAGUGAACUACAGGAUCUUAGUACUGGCAUACGGAAAUAAUUGUAAGCUUCGCUUAUUCUCACUAGCAUUGUUAGAAACAAAAUGAUAACAGAUAGUCCCGAGAAGACUUCAUACUUUCCUCUUAACCAAUAACGUACAUAAUGUACCAAAGUACUCCUAGAUACGAUUAAGUUCCUUAAAGCUCAUUAUUUAGAAGAUAUACAUUCAUUUAUAAACCAUAUAGAUUGUGAUACAAAAAUUACGUAAUUGCCAAAAACUUGGUGUUAUAUCAAAUACUAUUCAUGAACGUACUUCAAGCUUUUUGUAUCACUUUGCAAUUAAAUAAAUAAAAACACUUUGAUUCAAAUACGUUUUUAAAUAGACUACUAAUCAUCUAUAAAUAAUUAAACUGUUUUAUGAUUUUGACAAAAGUAUUGAGAUAUUUGUUAUAUAUGAUAUGAGAUAUUUCUAUAAUAUUCUUAGAAAUUAUUGAUAUUUUCUUCGGUUAUAUAUGUCGAUAUUCGUUGAAUAAGACAAAAUAUCACGUUUAUUCAAUAUAUACUUGCCUAUUUUGUAUGAGGAAACACAGCGUCUAACUUCAUGGCCCGUGAUCCGUCAAGCAUAUUUAAUUAAAUAAAAAUUGUUUUCAAUAAUACACCUGUUUUGCGUGUGCAGCCUAGAAUAAGCCCGAUAUGAUAACAGUUUUUGAUAUGUCUCCAGGUUAUGUAAUUGAUAUAAGCGGUACAAGGACACUCGCCGUGAAUUUGGCGUCACCUUUGUAUAUUAGUACGCCUUAUGAUUAUUAUAAGUGUUAACUAUUAUCAGAAAUACGUGUAUUUUUGUACUAAACUGUGUAAAAUUUGUUAUACUCUUAUUUAUUACCACGCCUUAUAUUCUCGAAGCCCAAGUGGAUUUAUCCGUUGAUAUAAGUGAAUCAAUCUAAUGUAAUACUAUCUAGGGUAAAACAAAGCGAAAUAUAGAUGAUUAAUUAGUGUCAAGCAUAAGCUCCUUAACGUUUUUGAUAGUUUACUAUUGCCUAUCAGUAAAGACGGUUACCAUAAAGCUACAUAGAGAACACUAACACCAGCAAAUCUUGAAUAAAAAGUUAACGUAAGACAAAGUAUAUGGUAUCCAAAAGCAUCGCUUCGUACUCACUAUAGAAUUGUAUUCGUAUAUACUAUACCUAUAUACUUACUACGCGUAUAUACCAAACCCAUGAAUACAUGCGUUGUUGAUGUAUAUUAAGUAUUCGAAAACUUGAAACGAAUAUUUAAAACAAAGUUUGCUAAAGUUACUGGUAUGAUAGAAAACGAAUCAUUCGAACAAAAAAUACCAAGGACUGGCUAUGUUCGACACAAUUCUUAGUUUUCAGUUUUAUAGUUUCAUUUUUAGGUUUUUAAGUUGCAAAGCAUUUAUAAUUUAAUUUUGUGUCCCUUGCAUGAAUUUUAACAAUUGUUGAUAUUGUAUGUAAAAUGUCGACUUAAUUUAAUUGUAUUACUUAAUUAGUUUUAUUUUAGGCGGGAAAUUCGUAGACUAAGAACGGUCGAGUUUGGUUUGUGUAUUAAAUGUUCCUUUUCACUCAAUAAAAGUUAUGAAAUAUU